CCUGGUAGCGGGGGAUAACUAUUGGAAACGAUAGCUAAUACCGCAUGAUAUUAAUUAUUGCAUGAUAAUUGAUUGAAAGAUGCAAUUGCAUCACUACCAGAUGGACCUGCGUUGUAUUAGCUAGUUGGUGAGGUAACGGCUCACCAAGGCGACGAUACAUAGCCGACCUGAGAGGGUGAUCGGCCACACUGGGACUGAGACACGGCCCAG
rnacentral:rRNA from 1 species